GAAAUGUACCGUCAUUAAAAGAGAGCUGCUAACUCCCUUUUUAGCAGUUAAAUUCUGUUAACAUUUCU
rnacentral:tRNA from 1 species